AGCGACGUUGGAGCCAACAAUUAAUUUUCGGACACGACACAGGUCCAAUGUGCCUCAAAAUUUAUAUGUUUUAUUUUUCCUGCAUUUUAGUUGGAAUUCCUAUAGAACAAAAGGCAAAACUAAUUGACCACCUAUGAGUACCAAAAAGGCUCUAUAGGAUCAAUUUUUCUCUCAAUCUCUUGAGUUUUCAUUUUCAAGCCACACCUAAAUCCACUAUUAAAGAACACGAG
rnacentral:lncRNA from 1 species